AGCGAACGCUGGCGGCAGGCCUAAUACAUGCCAGUCGAACGAACUCUUCGGAGUUAGUGGCGGACGGGUGAGUAACACGUGGGAACGUGCCUUUUGGUUCGGAAUAACUCAGGGAAACUUGUGCUAAUACCGAAUGUGCCCUUCGGGGGAAAGAUUUAUCGCCAUUAGAGCGGCCCGCGUCUGAUUAGCUAGUUGGUGAGGUAACGGCUCACCAAGGCGACGAUCAGUAGCUGGUCUGAGAGGAUGACCAGCCACACUGGGACUGAGACACGGCCCAGACUCCUACGGGAGGCAGCAGUGGGGAAUCUUGCGCAAUGGGCGAAAGCCUGACGCAGCCAUGCCGCGUGAAUGAUGAAGGUCUUAGGAUUGUAAAAUUCUUUCACCGGGGACGAUAAUGACGGUACCCGGAGAAGAAGCCCCGGCUAACUUCGUG
rnacentral:rRNA from 1 species